rnacentral:rRNA from 1 species
AUGUCUGAUCAAAGUGACAGUCAGAACAGGUCACAGGAACAUGUGCAGAUGAGUGAGGGCUCAGAUCCCUCUAGCACUUCUGAUGAUGGCAGCAGGAGCACUCCAAGCAACUUGCCAAAGGCAGCCACUAGAUCUAGGAAGAAGAGAACCUCAGAAUCUGAGGAUGAGGACUAUGUGGCCACUGAGGAGGAAGUAAGCUCCAAAAAGAAGGUGCUGAAGAAGAAGUAUGGUACAGCUGCUGCAAGUAAGCCAGGGCUAAACAAGAAGGCACCUGCAAGGAGGAUGCCAAUGUCAAAGCGAAGGAAAGUUGCCACAGGUGAAACUAUGAAGUUCACCAUUGAAUCUGAAGAAGAAGCAGCUGGUGAGGACAAGAAGAAGAAGAGGGCAAGAACUACAAUAGCUAAAGUUCUUGGAAAGUCCUCAAUGGUGAGAUCAGAUGAUGAAGAGGAAGAGGAUGCUGCUCCAGCACCUAAGGCACAGAAGCUCAUGGGAGAUGCUAUAAAGUCAGGGGCUGCUGCUAAGCCCAAAAAUGCUCCCAAAGCUACUGCUCCAGUUCCCAAGACUGCACCCAAGAGGGGUACCAAGAACAUACCUGCUGAGGAGAAGAACAAGGCCCCAGUGCCUGAGACUGAAGAAGAGGAAGCUGAAGCCCAAGUGCUAAGGAAGCUAAAGCCAAAGAUCCAUGACCAUAAUGAUGCACAUCCUGUUGCAGAAGAUAUGAGGAUCAGGAAAAGGAUGCAGGACUAA